GCUGGCGGCAUGCCUUACACAUGCAAGUCGAACGGCAGCAUGACCUAGCUUGCUAGGUUGAUGGCGAGUGGCGAACGGGUGAGUAAUGCAUCGGAACGUGCCUUUUAGUGGGGGAUAACGUAGCGAAAGUUACGCUAAUACCGCAUAUUCUCUGAGGAGGAAAGCAGGGGACCUUCGGGCCUUGCGCUAGAAGAGCGGCCGAUGUCGGAUUAGCUAGUUGGUGAGGUAAAGGCUCACCAAGGCAACGAUCCGUAGCGGGUCUGAGAGGAUGAUCCGCCACACUGGGACUGAGACACGGCCCAGACUCCUACGGGAGGCAGCAGUGGGGAAUUUUGGACAAUGGGCGCAAGCCUGAUCCAGCCAUGCCGCGUGAGUGAAGAAGGCCUUCGGGUUGUAAAGCUCUUUCGGCUGGGAAGAAAUCGCACUCUCUAACACAGGGUGUGGAUGACGGUACCAGCAUAAGAAGCACCGGCUAACUAC
rnacentral:rRNA from 1 species